rnacentral:rRNA from 1 species
GACGAACGCUGGCGGCGUGCCUAAUACAUGCAAGUCGAACGCUUUUUCUUUCACCGGAGCUUGCUCCACCGAAAGAAAAAGAGUGGCGAACGGGUGAGUAACACGUGGGUAACCUGCCCAUCAGAAGGGGAUAACACUUGGAAACAGGUGCUAAUACCGUAUAACACUAUUUUCCGCAUGGAAGAAAGUUGAAAGGCGCUUUUGCGUCACUGAUGGAUGGACCCGCGGUGCAUUAGCUAGUUGGUGAGGUAACGGCUCACCAAGGCAACGAUGCAUAGCCGACCUGAGAGGGUGAUCGGCCACACUGGGACUGAGACACGGCCCAGACUCCUACGGGAGGCAGCAGUAGGGAAUCUUCGGCAAUGGACGAAAGUCUGACCGAGCAACGCCGCGUGAGUGAAGAAGGUUUUCGGAUCGUAAAACUCUGUU